rnacentral:rRNA from 1 species
AUUUGCCCAUAAAUGGGGGACAACAGUUGGAAACGACUGAUAAUACCGCAUAUGGUGAUUUAUCAGUAAAGGAGGCCUGGUAACAAUGCUUUCGGUUAAUGGAUGAGCCCGCGUCUGAUUAGUUAGUUGUUGGGGUAAGAGCCUACCAAGGCGACGAUCAGUAGCCGGCCUGAGAGGGUGAACGGCCACACUGGGACUGAGACACGGCCCAGACUCCUACGGGAGGCAGCAGUGGGGAAUAUUGCGCAAUGGGGGAAACCCUGACGCAGCGACGCCGCGUGAGCGAUGAAGGCCUUAGGGUUGUAAAGCUCUGUUUUAAGGGACGAAUGUUCAGAUCAGUAAUAUGGGUUUGAAAUGACGGUACCUUAAGAGGAAGCCCCGGCUAACUACGUGCCAGCAGCCGCGGUAAGACGUAGGGGGCGAGCGUUGUCCGGAAUUACUGGGCGUAAAGAGCACGUAGGCGGAGACUUAAGUCAGGUGUGAAAGACCGGGGCUCAACCCCGGGGUGGCACUUGAAACUGGGUCCCUUGAGGGCAGGAGAGGACAGUAGAAUUCCUGGUGUAGCGGUGAAAUGCGUAGAAAUCAGGAGGAAUACCAGUGGCGAAGGCGACUGUCUGGACUGACCCUGACGCUGAGGUGCGAAAGCGUGGGUAGCAAACAGGAUUAGAUACCCUGGUAGUCCACGCCGUAAACGAUGGAUACUA